rnacentral:ncRNA from 1 species
UGGUGCAUGUCCGUUCUUAGUUGGUGGAGCGAUAUGUCCGGUUAAUUCCGAUAACGCAUGAGAUUCUAGCCUACUAAAUAGGUGCGUGGUUCUCUGCACCUUGCACCCUUUUUAGAGAGAGAAGCGGCUCCUAGCCGCACGAAACAGAGCAAUAACAGGUCUGUGAUGCCCUCAGAUGCCCGGGGCCGCACGCGCGCUACAUCGAAGGAAGCAGCGUGUUUUAUCUGUGUUUGUUAAGGCAGUAAGCGUAGGAAAAAGUGGCUUGAGCGAAUACAGAGGGCUAAUUGAAGUCCAUCGUAUUACCCCCGAGCA